rnacentral:rRNA from 1 species
AGCAGCCGCGGUAAUUCCAGCUCCAAUAGCGUAUAUUAAAGUUGUUGCAGUUAAAAAGCUCGUAGUUGAAUUUCGGGAUCAAUAUGUUGGUCGUGCCUCGGUACGUACUAGCUUAUUGGUUUCUCCUUUCUGAAGAACCAUGAUGUCAUUUAUUUGGUGUCGUGGGGAAUCAGGACUGUUACUUUGAAAAAAUUAGAGUGUUUAAAGCAGGCUCACGCUUGAAUACAUUAGCAUGGAAUAAUGAAAUAGGACGUUUGAUUCUAUUUUGUUGGUUUCUAGGAUCGACGUAAUGAUUAAUAGGGAUAGUUGGGGGCAUUAGUAUUCAAUUGUCAGAGGUGAAAUUCUUGGAUUUAUUGAAGACUAACUACUGCGAAAGCAUUUGCCAAGGAUGUUUUCAUUAAUCAAGAACGAAAGUUAGGGGAUCGAAGACGAUCAGAUACCGUCGUAGUCUUAACCAUAAACUAUGCCGACUAGGGAUCGGAUGAUGUUAAU